rnacentral:rRNA from 1 species
CACUCCUGCGGGAGGCAGCAGUGGGGAAUUUUGGACAAUGGGCGAAAGCCUGAUCCAGCAAUGCCGCGUGAGUGAAGAAGGCCUUCGGGUUGUAAAGCUCUUUUGUCAGGGAAGAAACGGUGAGAGCUAAUAUCUCUUGCUAAUGACGGUACCUGAAGAAUAAGCACCGGCUAACUACGUGCCAGCAGCCGCGGUAAUACGUAGGGUGCAAGCGUUAAUCGGAAUUACUGGGCGUAAAGCGUGCGCAGGCGGUUUUGUAAGUCUGAUGUGAAAUCCCCGGGCUCAACCUGGGAAUUGCAUUGGAGACUGCAAGGCUAGAAUCUGGCAGAGGGGGGUAGAAUUCCACGUGUAGCAGUGAAAUGCGUAGAUAUGUGGAGGAACACCGAUGGCGAAGGCAGCCCCCUGGGUCAAGAUUGACGCUCAUGCACGAAAGCGUGGGGAGCAAACAGGAUUAGAAACCCCUGUAGUCCC